UUUCUGGAUUUGGAGAGAUUUUAUUUUUAAUUAUAUUUCUCCUAACAAUGGCAUAAAACCCAGAGAAAGAGAUGAAAUUCAGAUCCAACAGAAAGAUGUCAGGAGCACUUUGAUCGUGGACUCUGGUAUGGUGAGCAUCACUCAGCGUCAGACCAUCAACAUCAUACUACAUGAAGGCAUCCAGGAGGAGACUUCUGGCAACUCUGAGACCGCUGAAGGAACACAGAAAAAGGCACCAUGAAUCCCCUCUUCUGUUUUCCUUGUGGAGUUCUAAGAAUCAUGGGCAUGUUUCUCUAAGGUCAAAAGCUCUACUCUCUCUUGCACUGAGUUCCCUGAUCUCUUUGCAGUUAGGGGGUACCAGGGAUUGCUUUGUACUGUGAGGGAGCACUUGACCUUUGUGUGUGCAAUGGCUGGCAAGCAACUGGCAAGGACUGCAGUUUGGGAGCUGUCUGACAGGGAUUGCAGUGACUACUCUUUUUCUUUUUGUGUACAGUUAAGAAAGGCAUGGUUUGAACAUUUGG